CGAACGGCGAGCCGCGGGCGUCAGCGCGCCGGCGUUGGCACUUGCACAGGAGGACGGGUUUCAGGAAGUAUCCUGCCUCUUUGUCCUGGGACGUUACAUCCGCUGUCUCGGGGCCUCGCUAGCUGCGGAGAUGAAUGGGGCUGGGUCACGUGGCCGUGCACAGCGCAGGUGCGCUCUCGACCCUGCAGAGCGGCAGCUUCUUCGGGCUGCAGGACGCGAGCCCUUUAAAAAUAUGGAUGGUCUCCCCAAGCUCCCUCGAAGACACACCGCCUUGCUGCACGCCGCACUGCGCAGCAGCCGGGAAGCUCGGCUCGGUCGGCAGCAGAGUCCAGGGCCGCCUGCGAGCACCUGCUGAGAGCACCUGCUGCAAACACCUGGCCUGGCUUAUCUGCAGCCACUGUCCUAGAAGUCACCCCGGGGUCCUCGCGAGGCUGCAAGCCAAGACUUCGCACGAUCGCACGUGAAUCCGUGCGACUUCGGUUCCAGUUAAGACGCCUUUUGAGGAUCUGCUGGGCUAUGUGCAGAAAGAGGGAGACAGGAAACAUCCAGAAUGAUUUGGUUCGGGGGCGAGGCGGGCGUGGGGGAGUCGAGUGCGGGACCUGGAGGUUCGUGUGGAUCUCAUCCAGCCUGGCACGCUUCUGUCUCCUAACCUCCCCUAGCCUAGUGUCUGCAGCCAGGCGGCCAGCGACCUGGUUCCUCGAGUGCUACAGCACUGACGCAUUGUAAUAAGCCUCCUGCCAGAGUGUUGUCGGGUCGAAUUACAAGACGUUAUUGGAAAGCCCUUUGCGCACUCCAAACCUGCAGCACGUUUGUUAGUUCACAGUGCUCUUUGGGCAUCUUUUUUCAUUUUUCAAAAUAAGAUUGAUAUGUGCCUGCUCAGAUCAAAGUGCUUGUCUUAGAUGACACUCUUGGCAGGAGCAACAUUGUCAACCGACCAACGAGAAGGCUAAUUUCAGUAGAGACACAGCCAGCCUCGUGAGCAUUGAGAGAUGAUUAGCUUUUUUGUUGGUGUUUAAUGUGUGAUAGUGGAGGCUGACAAGAACAAGAAGGGUGUGAUGGGAAGGGGAGGCUGGAGUGGUAGUCUGGAACACUUCCUCUUCGUUGGUGAAAUGCCUGGGUUUCUCUGCUGUAUUAGGGUUCUGUAGAUUAGCAAGGUACAGUGUGUGUGUGUGUGUGUGUGUGUGUGUGUGUGUGUGUGUGAGAGAGAGAGAGAGAGAGAGAGAGAGAGAGAGAGUGUUUUACUAGAAUAGCUUGCAGACUGUGGUCCAGCUAGUCUAACAGUCCAGUAGUUGCUCAGUUCACAAGGCUGCAUGUCUCAGCUGGUCUUCAGCGUACACUGGAAUCUAAUGUCAGUGAAGCACUGGACUUGCUAGUGGAAGCAAGAACAAGCAGGCAAAGACAGCAAGCUUCCUUCUUCCAUGUCCUUUAAAUAGGCUGCCAGCAGGUGUGCCACAGAUUAAAGGUUUAUCUUCCUCCCUCAAAAGAUCCAGAUUAAAGUUGUAUCUUCUCACCUCAGAGAUCUGAAAUGAUUUAAUUAAGCAAGAACCCCUCAUGGGUGUCCCCAGCAAUUUUUUGGGGUUUCAGUUAGUUCCAGAUGUAGUCAAGUUGGCAACCAAGAAUAGACAUCACAUCUGCCUGGCAGUGUUGACACUUGUGACCUGGUGAUUGGGAGGAAUAGAGUUUUGGGUUGUUUUGCUUGAAGCAAGGUCUCACUGUCUAGCUGACCUAGAAUGUGUUAGGUAAACCAGGCAGGCCUUUAACUUAAGAUAUUCCUGUGUAAGCCUCUCCAAUGCCUGGCUGGAUGACUGGGUUUUAAGGAUGAUUCCCCUGUGCUCUGUAGGGUGUUUGGCAGCAUCCAUGGCUUCUACCCACCUGCGGCCACUGGCAGAUGCUCCCCCUCAAUACUGGUCAACCAAAUCCUCCAAGCCUAACCUUCUCUGUCUUCCCAAGCCCUGGUUUAAAAACUCACCUCUGCUGAUUGUCUCCAGCAAACUGUCAAAAGUAUAUAAGCCACAUCCUAGAGAGGUGAAUGCCUAAAUGGGAUCUGGGGACAGGCUUUGCUUGUUUGCUUGUUUGUUUGUUUGUGUUUGUUUUUUUGAAACAAGGUCUUGUAUAGCCCAGGCUGGCCUGAACUUUUUUUUAUGUAGCCAUCUUGGCCAUCUUAAACCCCUUCCUCAUCCACCUGCCUCCACCUCCCAAGAGCUGGAAUGACAAGCAUAUACCACCACAUCCAACUCAAAUUGGACGUUUUGUGGGGAGUGGUGGCACACCCCUUUAAUACCAGCACUCAGGAGGUGGAGGCAGCCUGAGUUUGAUCUGGAACCUACAUGUUGAAAAGAGAAAAACAGCUUCCUAGUGUUGUCAUCUGACCACCACACCUGCACUGUGCCAUUCACACGGACCCAAAUAACAUAAAAUUUAAAAUGUUAUAUAUAAAAUCGAAUAAGCUCUGAUUUUGCUUCCUACUGGCUCAUCUUAAAAUUCUUUUCUGCAGUGAAGUCAAGGAUCCUGCUUUACAUUCCUGAGGGGCCUCGUAAGGAUAAGUGAACUCCUUGGGCGGCUGGCAGCAGUUCUAGUCUGUUUCACCAGCUGACAAGUAUUCUCAGUUACAGGAUGACUUACAGGAGUUCCUGCUAGCUCCACGACUGGCACCAGCAACUAUAGAUUCACAAGCCCCUCUCACUAGAGAAUUGUGGCAUCACAGUGGUCUCCCAAGAACAGAGACAGUUCUGUUGAGCCUGUAUAGGUCACUAGGAACAGCAUUCUUAGAGCCACAACCAAUAUGCUCUUGCUAAACUAGGCUUGGCCUAUACCCACCUCUAUACUAAGGAUAAGGAAAGUUUGACUUAAAGCAGCCUCCAGAAUUGUCAACUGCACCUCGCUUGACAUGUGAACAAGGUGUAACCUAACGUGAGUAUGCCCUGUUUGCAAGCGAAUGUCAGCUACUCCCCAGCUGAGCUUCCACAGAUUGCAGCUGACUGACUGAGCACAGCAAGCUCUAUAAGGCAAACAUGGAUUCUGAAUCACUAAGGUAUUUUCUGUAUGACAUUGCCUUUUCUCUAGCCACAAGUAUAACCUGGACAUAUGGUAGGGCCAGACAUGUUUGGUUCAGAACAGUGCUUGGAUCUAGAACCUCUUCUCAUAGGCUGCUUGCUUGAUUGCUUUUUCUGACAGUCUCACAGUCCAAGGCUGUGCCUCUAACUCCUUACGUAACCAACGCAGACCUUGAACUUCCAUUGCAGAUGCUUCUAUCCUCAAAGAUUUGGGGUCACAGGUGUACAGCACCACACCAAGUGUAUUCACUACUGGGGAUGCGUCCCAGGACAUCGUGAAUGCCAGGUAAUCUCUGUCAACUGAGCCGCUUCCCCAAAGCAACUCAGGGUUUCUCUAACACUCAUUAUACAAGCACGGUGGGUUCUGUGUGGAAGUCAUUGGGCCACCAUAACCUGUCUAGGUGAUCAAAAAGCUCAGAAGGCCUCAGUGGAAGAAAGUUGGGAUCAGACAUAAUUGGGCGUAGCCAGCCCUAGCAGGAUCCUCUCCAGCUACCUGUCACACUUGGUGUCAUAGGAGGCUGGAGGAGAUUAGGAUGUGUGCCCAAGGCCUUGUGAUAACUAAAGUUGUGUUUUAGGUUUAAAUUACUGUGCUUAAGAGAUCUAUAAAACAGUGCCAUUCUCUGGGAGUCCUGGAUAUGGACCUGGCCAGUAUUCAUUGUCCUGGACAAUAUGUAAUAAAGCCUGCUUCAAAUUUGGCUCAGGAAUUGUGGUAGUGAUCUUAUUCGCAUCUGGUGGGAUUAACAGCCUCUAUUUCCUCAGUCUUCCAGGUCUUCUCCUGUAAGCACCCUUGUGUCUGUCCUCUGCCAUGUCUCCACUAUCCAGAUGAAAGCUCUGCUGAGAGAAGGCAGACACAAACCUCCAAAGCCACGAUAGUCAUCGAUUGUCACGACUGCAAGGAAGGAACUAUAAGGAGAGAAGAGAACAGGUUCUGCGUGCUAGGGAGAUCUCCAUCCGUUUCCGGAAAGAUGUAGAUAGUCCUCCCUUCACCAGCCUGUCAUCCCAACGCUGGAAAGUUGAUUUGGAAGAAAGUCUCUGCUACUCAGUUGAUCUUGAUCCACAUUUCCAAUCAAAGGGGGCAAAAACUGGGUAAUUAAAGGGUUCAUCGAUGACUACUGAAGACCAGUUAGGACCUGUAGAUGGAUUCCUUAAUUUUAAAAAUUGAUCCCCAGGCGUGUCCUAUAGAGGCAAGAUAUAAUAAUAAUAAUGAGGGGCCAUGGGAAGAAAAUGGAGCCUCCUCUUGCCCCUGCUUGCUGAGAACCUAGAGAAUCAUGAAGGCCAAAAUUCCAUAAAUUUCCCAUCUUGUAAAACUUGUUUUAGGUCUGCUAUAUUCCUGGAAAUUAAUGGUCUCACCCAUUUCCUUCAUAUCCUUUGUGCUAAUUCUUUUAAAGCUAGCCAGUCAUGAAAGACUGUGAGAUCAGACCCCAGCCUAUAGGAAAAAGACACAACCUCCACCUGCCUUAGAAUAAAAACCAAGUGAGCUUAC